GAUGAACGCUGGCGGCGUGCCUAAUACAUGCAAGUCGAGCGAACAGACGAGGAGCUUGCUCCUCUGACGUUAGCGGCGGACGGGUGAGUAACACGUGGAUAACCUACCUAUAAGACUGGGAUAACUUCGGGAAACCGGAGCUAAUACCGGAUAAUAUAUUGAACCGCAUGGUUCAAUAGUGAAAGACGGUUUUGCUGUCACUUAUAGAUGGAUCCGCGCCGCAUUAGCUAGUUGGUAAGGUAACGGCUUACCAAGGCAACGAUGCGUAGCCGACCUGAGAGGGUGAUCGGCCACACGGGAACUGAGUCACGGUCCAGACUCCUACGGGAGGCAGCAGUAGGGAAUCUUCCGCAAUGGGCGAAAGCCUGACGGAGCAACGCCGCGUGAGUGAUGAAGGUCUUCGGAUCGUAAAACUCUGUUAUUAGGGAAGAACAAAUGUGUAAGUAACUAUGCACGUCUUGACGGUACCUAAUCAGAAAGCAACGGCUAACUACGUG
rnacentral:rRNA from 1 species